CUUCGGCAAUGUUUACAUUUCUGCGCAGUCUGUUCCAAUCAACGGAAAAAAAUAGUGAACCUAAACUUUGUCCCCGGAUGUGCAUUCUGAAUGGUUCCGUCUCCUAAACUGAAGAUGAAUCACCCACUGCAAGAAUGCCAGCACUUCGUACAUUUUGCGGCGGAAGAUUUGUGAGCCACAUCCGGCAACCAAAAAGCAAAACUGAUCUCCCAAGAAUGUGAGCUUCUUGACUACGGUCCAUCACAUGAUAUUAUCCUGUCGGCAUCGAAAAUGAAAGCCCACAUUCCCAGACGUGGCCUCAACUUUCUCCCGGCAUACGGUUUUCUUAAUCGGGCAUUAUACCAGGGUGGGUGUA